CCUACGGGGCGCAGCAGUGGGGAAUGUUGCACAAUGGGGGAAACCCUGAUGCAGCGACGCCGCGUGAGUGAAGAAGUAUUUCGGUAUGUAAAGCUCUAUCAGCAGGGAAGAAAAAAGACGGUACCUGACUAAGAAGCCCCGGCUAACUACGUGCCAGCAGCCGCGGUAAUACGUAGGGGGCAAGCGUUAUCCGGAUUUACUGGGUGUAAAGGGAGCGUAGACGGCAUAGCAAGUCUGAAGUGAAAGCCCAAGGCUCAACCAUG
rnacentral:rRNA from 1 species